UACGUAGGUGGCAAGCGUUAUCCGGAAUUAUUGGGCGUAAAGAGCGCGCAGGUGGUUAAUUAAGUCUGAUGUGAAAGCCCACGGCUUAACCGUGGAGGGUCAUUGGAAACUGGUUGACUUGAGUGCGGAAGAGGGAAGUGGAAUUCCAUGUGUAGCGGUGAAAUGCGUAGAGAUAUGGAGGAACACCAGAGGCGAAGGCGGCUAACUGGACUGCAACUGACGCUGAGGCACGAAAGUGUGGGGAGCAAACAGG
rnacentral:rRNA from 1 species